ACACUAUAAGCAUGUGACGAAUGUCAAUGUUUUGAUUUAAACUUUAAAGAUACCUUAGUCUGAUUGGUAAAAUAUAAUUAAAUUAAUUUAAAAAUAUAUAUUAUUUAUUAUGACGGCUUGAGACGAAACGAAAGGAGGACACGUCACGUAAAGAAAUUGCGUCCGAAUCGCCAACAAUGGAAGAUGAUAAAGGAGAAGGCCAUAGACGGUUGUUCUUCCAUCGGGACCAUCGAUAGCGAAGUGUUUACGAUUGGGAGGACAUUUUAAGAGACACUCGAGAUGAUGGACUAUGACGGAAGCGAAUAUUCUAUACUGUUCGGUAUCCGUCAGGUACCGUGUGAUGAAUAACUCGAGCAAAAGUUUCUUCAGAUGGAUUAUUUCAGAAAUAUUCUGCUGCUGGAAACAACAGAACGAACUUCCCGAAAACUUGGCCGUGAGCUACACGGAGAUAACGCACUCAAAUACGGCAGACGCGGUGGAACUGCAGCUGCGGAACUACGUGAACUCGCAAGAGCCGUACAAUCCGGAAGUGCACGGCUGGAGAGACAUCACGCCACCCGUUAUGCGAUCCGUCAAGCACAGCGAGCGAGCUACACAGCUGGUGACAGCCAUCCGUAUGUCAGGGCUACAGGACAUCGAAAUACUAGGCGUGCCCGAUGGACACAGCUAACGACGGCGUUUGCCGACACCGUCCCGUACGUCCAGACGCCGUCGUGAAUCUUGUACAUACAACACCGCCGUACCACGAAGUGUAAUAUUGUUUAUUGAUAAUAAAAAAAUCGUUUUAUCUGUU
rnacentral:misc_RNA from 1 species